rnacentral:lncRNA from 1 species
CUGAAGUUCCGCUGUGGGAGCCUCGGGUAGGGACGGAGAGAGGACACGACCUACCGGUUUUCUCCGGCAGAGUCGGUUCCUGGCCUCACCCCGGCCCCUUCUGGGCGGCUGCUGCUGACUGCUCUCCUUUCCCUCCCCCAGAAGCUGGGUUCCGAGUUAGAAACCGCAUUCCGAACCCACUGAAUCGAGACUCUCCGAGAAGGAAUGGAUAACAAGGGAACAGCUACGGAAUCAGAAAGCAAGCUCAACUCUUAACAUGUUCUUGUGCUGGUUUGGCUUUUGUUCUGUUGUUGUUGUUGUUGUUGUUGUUGUUGGCUAUUGUUCUGUUGUUGUUGUUGUUGUUGUUGUUGUUGUUUUUCCCCUAAGGACCAAGCACGGUGUUUUUGAAUGGACGUUUCUGGAUUUUGAUAGAUCUGAGAGGCUGCCCGGGUAAGGGGCGGUGGAAUGAGCCAUGUCCUAAAUCCUCCCUAGCACCUGCCCUAAACUAAAGCAGCCUUGCAGUUAGUCCCAAGGUGGGGUUUGGGGGUGAGGGCGACAAUAGGAUUACCCUCCUAAAUUAAACCUUUAAAUCCUACCUAGUUCCUUCACUAAUCUGCUAAACUCAGACUCCACCCUUCCUUCGAAGGACUACAAAUGUAAGGAAUCCCCUUGGUUUUGUGACUUGCUCUUGGAUUCCCCACCAUAUUCCAGCCCCCACCCCAAAGCCCACCAGUGUUAUUAAAGGAUCUGGUCUCCUGAAAUACGUCCCAGCAGCCGUCUAUAGCGAACCAGUAGGGUGAGGAAACCGAGGCUGAACAAAGGUUAUUGUUGAGAAAUCACACAGGCAGUGAAUGGUAGAAUGGACUGAGACUGGAGCCCCAGUGUUGACUCAGCCAUUGACACGCAAGCCUGCUUAUACUGUCUCACUUUUACAAAUCAUGAAUAAAAAUAAGAAAUGAAUAUUUCAGGCAGGCACUGGAAUUCACAACUUAGAAGACAAACGUCUUCUCUUAUGAUGAUCCACAUAAUAAAAAAGACUCAAGAAGAAGAUCCACUGUCACUCUUACUGGCAAGCCCCAUGCCCAGGAGGAGACCAGGAGCGCAAGACCAGCUCGAUGACAUUUUCGUUUUGUCCCAUUCCAAUUCGUGUCCAUUGACUCAUUUCACUACUAUUUCUUAGAUGCUUGUUUUCUAUGAGAGAAGGGUGUGAUUAGGGUGGGAGGGGAGAGGGGAAGAGAUGGGGGAGGAGAAACUGUCAUCAGAAUGUACUGUAUCGAAAAGAAAACCAACAACCUAUUUUCAAUAAAAAUAAAAGGGGG